rnacentral:rRNA from 1 species
UAAGGAAUAUUGGUCAAUGGAGGCAACUCUGAACCAGCCAUGCCGCGUGCAGGAAGAAGGCCCUAUGGGUCGUAAACUGCUUUUGAACAAGAGAAAACCCCGGUACGUGUACUGGGUUGAUAGUAUUGUUAGAAUAAGCAUCGGCUAACUUCGUGCCAGCAGCCGCGGUAAGACGAAGGAUGCAAGCGUUAUCCGGAUUCAUUGGGUUUAAAGGGUGCGUAGGCGGACUGAUAAGUCAGUGGUGAAAUCUCUCGGCUUAACCGAGAAACUGCCAUUGAUACUGUUAGUCUAAAGUACAGAUGAUGUGGGCGGAAUAUGACAUGUAGUGGUGAAAUACUUAGAUAUGUCAUAGAACACCGAUUGCGAAGGCAGCUCACAAAACUGUAACUGACGCUGAGGCACGAAAGUGCGGGGAUCAAACAGGAUUAGAUACCCCUGUAGUCCCUGAGCGGGCUGGCAAGGCGCAU